rnacentral:rRNA from 1 species
CCUACGGGGGGCAGCAGUGGGGAAUAUUGGACAAUGGGCGAAAGCCUGAUCCAGCCAUGCCGCGUGUGUGAAGAAGGUCUUCGGAUUGUAAAGCACUUUAAGUUGGGAGGAAGGGCAGUAAGUUAAUACCUUGCUGUUUUGACGUUACCGACAGAAUAAGCACCGGCUAACUCUGUGCCAGCAGCCGCGGUAAUACAGAGGGUGCAAGCGUUAAUCGGAAUUACUGGGCGUAAAGCGCGCGUAGGUGGUUUGUUAAGUUGGAUGUGAAAGCCCCGGGCUCAACCUGGGAACUGCAUCCAAAACUGGCAAGCUAGAGUACGGUAGAGGGUGGUGGAAUUUCCUGUGUAGCGGUGAAAUGCGUAGAUAUAGGAAGGAACACCAGUGGCGAAGGCGACCACCUGGACUGAUACUGACACUGAGGUGCGAAAGCGUGGGGAGCAAACAGGAUUAGAUACCCCAGUAGUC